rnacentral:snoRNA from 1 species
AAGACUACACUUCCAGGAAUUAUUUCUAUAGUUCGUUACUAGAGAGAUUUCUCUGAUUGUUAGAGAGCUCGAAACCACUAGGAUAGCCAGAAGAAGGAACAGGAAGCCAAAUUUAAAACCCUUUAAAUUUGACAAACCAAACGUUUUCUUAAACGUUGCUUUUGCAACUGCCUUUUAUUAUGGAUGAUUGUUCUUCUUUUCUCUCAGAAAAGGGAGAGGGAGAGGGCAGAGUCUGAGUGG